rnacentral:rRNA from 1 species
AUACGGAGGAUCCAAGCGUUAUCCGGAAUCAUUGGGUUUAAAGGGUCCGCAGGCGGUCAAUUAAGUCAGAGGUGAAAUCCCAUUGCUCAACAAUGGAACUGCCUUUGAUACUGGUUGACUUGAGUUAUACGGAAGUAGAUAGAAUGUGUAGUGUAGCGGUGAAAUGCAUAGAGAUUACACAGAAUACCGAUUGCGAAGGCAGUCUACUACGUAUAUACUGACGCUGAGGGACGAAAGCGUGGGGAGCGAACAGGAUUAGAAACCCCUGUAGUCC